GGAAUGGUGGGCCUCAAGGGGAGCUAUGGGGGAGACCGCCUGAGGGAGAGCCCUUACGAUUCCCAGUCCAUUGGUUCCACAGCAAGGGAAAACCAACACAAACUUCACAACAAUGGGUGGGACAAAUGGAAUCUGCCCUAAGAAAACAACCCCUCCCAGAGAACCACAAGUAGCAAGACACCCAGAAAAGGGUGGGCAGAAAAUGGUGGCUGGUACCUGGGGUACCUGCUGUGCCUGGGGGUCUAAGGGCAGCAAAGAGAGAAAACAAAGGGCCACCUGGGUGCUGCUGCUUCCUAGCACUGAGUAACUGAGAGACAAGAGAGAGAGAGAGAGAGAGAGAGAGAGAGAGAGAGAGAGAGAGAGACCUUGUGAGCUGGUGGUCCUAAUGUUUGCUGAAGGCCUCUACACUCUGUAAAAUUCCAGUGACUCAAAUGGCUUUAGGGAUCCCCUGGAGACGGUUCAGGAAGGGAGUUGUUGGUAUGCCAGGCCAGAGAAAUGGGGUUGGGUCCCCCAGGAAGAACUUUCCUAGCUGUAACAUGAACUCAAAGAAGGCUGAGGUUUAGACAUGGAGAUCUUUUUGUUUCCUUGUUUACCUUACGGUGAUUUGGCUCAAAGAUGUUUACAGGAUGUGGGGGACUCAUGUACAUACAUGUGCAUGUGGAGAGACGUGAAGACUUCUCAUGAGUGGCUCAAGCACACUUCCGCUGCUGUGGCGUCAGCCUUCAAAGCUGUCAGGCCAGGGAUGAUUUUCCUCAUUACUGAGCCCCGUCUAUAACCAGGAUAAUGCAGUGCCAUGUCCUUUUCGCAUUGGCAUUCUCACAGGCAGGCCCGCAAGCACACACGCAUAUGUAUGCACGCAUGCACGCAUGCGUGUGCGAGCAAAUGCCUGUGAACACACACACAAAGACACAGAGAGAAACACACACGCAUUCACGUGCUUGAGCGCGCACACACACACACACACACACACACACACACACACAUACACACACACACACACAGACACACACACACACACAUCUGGGUCUGCUGCAGUGUGGGGUGACACUGGCCUGUGUAUCUCAAGGAAGGCGUGAACACCUAACUAAGUAUUCCUAGCUGCUUGGUACUGGUCCCCUCCCUAAAGAGGCAGUUUGCCUUGUGAUCUGGGCUAUGUGCUCUGGGCUAUGUGCUCCUGGUCCUUCUGGUGCAGCCAGGCACACCAAGGAGGCAGUCAGGGAGCACUGUCGUAGGAGCCCACCAGUGUGUUCCAGGACCCUGCCAGGGAAGGCCACUGGGUGGUCACCUGCAGAGUUUCUUACUGUCAUUGCACAAUGGACAUGCCAUCCUUGGGUAUUAAAUGGACACUGUCAAGUACUUUUUUAAACUAGUUUUUAGGGUUUUUUUUUAAAAAAAAAACUCUCUGUUGUUUGUAAUAUUCUCUUAAAAGCUUGGAAAUAAAAUUUCUUUCCCUAGC
rnacentral:lncRNA from 1 species